CCAGAAGUCAGUCCACAGCCACUUUGCUUCACUGAUCUGGGCCUGUGUGGUGAGGCAGACUAUCAUGGUGGGGAGCACAUGGUGGACAGACCUACUCACCUCAUGGCAGCCUUGGAAGCAGAGAGAGUGUGGGAGAGACAAGAUAUGCCCUUCUAGGGGACACCCCCAGUGACCUACUCUUUCCAACUAGCCACCACCCUGCGUUUAUAGUUUAGACCAUGUCCCAAUAGUCCAUUCAGUUACAAACCCAUCUGUUAAUUAAUCUAUGAAUCCACUGAUGAGAUCAGGGCCCUCAUGACCCAAUCACUUCCCCCAAGCCACAGGUCUGGACAUUGCUGAACUGGGGACUGAAUCUUCAAUGCAUGAGGCUUUGGAGGACAUUCCAGAUCCAAACUAUAACAGACGGAACUGGAGGACAUUGUGUUAAGUAACAAAGGCUUGGCUUUAAGAGAAGGAAUCCUGGAAAGUGGAGACUACUACUGGCAUGUAGGAAGAAAAUAAAUUCCUUUUUGUUGCAACUUUUAUUUAGAUAUAACCGACUAUAGGAAAGUGUUCACUGAUUGUCACAAGGUCUGGGCACCAGCUCCACAGAAGCCUCCUUCAGGCUGCCCCUCCUACCUGCCUCUGCCCUCUCCCUGGGGGUCACCACCAGACUGACUUUUAACACCGUAAAUUUAUUGCUCAUUUUAAAGCUUAAUGUAAAUAGAAAAAUAUGUGAUAUUUACUUUUUCAUCCGUUGCUUCUUUUACUCAACAUGGGUUGUGAGAUUUAUCCAUGUUAUCACACACAACUGCC
rnacentral:lncRNA from 1 species